ensembl:lncRNA
GAGAAAGGGGUUUUUAUCUCCACUUUACAGAGCAGAAAACUGAGUUAUGAAGUAAUUAGCCUGUAUUGUUGCAGCUAGUGAGCAUCCAAGCUGGGCUCCAUCUCCAGGUCCACCUGCUACUGAUCUCAUUUCAGGUUCUGCUUUCCCAGAAUUUCUCCUUCAAGGCUCCUACCUCAAGUCAAGGCAGGACUAACGUGGUCCUUUGGAGGAAACUUGGCUACUAGAGAUUAAGGAAUAAGGUAGCUCAGUCGAAAAGAAUCUGCCUGCAGUGCAGGAGACGUGGGUUCAGUCCCUCAAUCAGGAAGAUCCCCUGGAGAAGGAGAUGGCAACCUCCUCUAGUAUUCUUGCCUUGGAAGUUCCAUGGACAGAAGAGCCUGGUGGGUUACAGCCCAUGAGGUCACAAAUGAGUCAGGCACUACUUAGCGACUGAACAACAACAUGCUUUAUUUCUAGGCUCCAUCCUCAGACACCUUGAGAUAAAGGAAGUAUUUAUAUACAAACUGUACGGCUACAGAGAUUACCAGAUAACCUAGACACCUGUCUUUAUGGAAAACUAUUAAACUCUGUCAAUUCUCAAAAAGGCCAUUGGAAAAAACUUCCAAUUAAGCAAAACUAAGUUUACUGAACUCACUUGAGUGUCUUAAUUGUAUCUUAGAGCAGGGAGUCAGGGAAGGAUAUUUUGAGUGUUUCAGGGCCGAGGAUGGAUGAUUUAAGGCAGGUCUUGCAAGGCAGAGAACUAGUUAGCACUGAAGAGAGUUAAUGACACAAGAGCUUUUGAUUGAUGACCCCACAAAUCAAAAGUCUUAGAGUAUCGACAAGCAAGCUGUUAAUCUUGACAAGUGAGCUAUUUCAGUUGUUUAGUGCUAACUUCCAGAAGCAAGUCUCUUCCAGAACAGAUAGCUAAGUUGCUUUUGCCUAGUCCUAAUUUUUUUUUAAAUGUCUUAUGUAGCCCAGAGAUAGGAAAAUAAAUUUCGGUUCCAAAAAUUUCAAUGCAUUUGUAUCACACAUGUAACCAAAGGUUGUUCUGUUCUUUAUUUCAUGCAUGUUUAUCUCCUUGGCUGGAUUCAGAAUGUUUUCAGGACAGGAGCCAUAGCUUGACUGUAUACAGCCCAGAAGUGAGCACAAGUAUCCCACUCAACAAACAUCACCUCUUCCAUGAAGUCUUCCAUGAUGCCACCUCCAGGCUCUCAGUCAUUUCCCAGGACUAUAUUCACACCACUAUUCUGGUGCCUGCUAACUGUGGCCAGAUGGGGAUUCUCUCAUCUCUUCCUCCUCCACACUUCCUGGGGGAGAGGGCCUUCUGUAAAACUGAGUGAAGAGACAAGGAUGUGGCUCGUAAC